rnacentral:rRNA from 1 species
UUUCGGGGUACACGAGCGGCGAACGGGUGAGUAACACGUGGGUGAUCUGCCCUGCACUCUGGGAUAAGCUUGGGAAACUGGGUCUAAUACCGGAUAUGACCACAGCAUGCAUGUGUUGUGGUGGAAAGAUUUAUCGGUGCAGGAUGGGCCCGCGGCCUAUCAGCUUGUUGGUGGGGUAAUGGCCUACCAAGGCGACGACGGGUAGCCGACCUGAGAGGGUGACCGGCCACACUGGGACUGAGACACGGCCCAGACUCCUACGGGAGGCAGCAGUGGGGAAUAUUGCACAAUGGGCGGAAGCCUGAUGCAGCGACGCCGCGUGAGGGAUGAAGGCCUUCGGGUUGUAAACCUCUUUCAGCAGGGAGCAAGCGUGAGUGACGGUACCUGCAGAAGAAGCACCGGCUAACUACGUGCCAGCACCCGCGGUAAUACGUAGGGUGCGAGCGUUGUCCGGAAUUACUGGUCGUAAAGAGUUCGUAGGCGGUUAGUCGCGUCGUUGUGAAAACCCGGGCUCAACUUCGGGCUUACAGGCGAUACGGGCAGACUUGAGUGUUUCAGGGGAGACUGGAAUUCCUGGUGUAGCGGUGAAAUGCGCAGAUAUCAGGAGGAACACCGGUGGCGAAGGCGGGUCUUUGGGAAACAACUGACGCUGAGGAAGGAAAGCGUGGGUAGCAAACAGGAUUAGAUACCCUGGUAGUUCACGCCGUAAACGGUGGGCGGUAGGUGUGGGUUCCUUCCACGGGAUCUGUGCCGUAGCUAACGCAUUAAGCGCCCCGCCUGGGGAGUACGGCCGCAAGGCUAAAACUCAAAGGAAUUGACGGGGGCCCGCACAAGCGGCGGAGCAUGUGGAUUAAUUCGAUGCAACGCGAAGAACCUUACCUGGGUUUGACAUACACCGGAAAACCGUAGAGAUACGGUCCCCCUUGUGGUCGGUGUACAGGUGGUGCAUGGCUGUUGUCAGCUCGUGUCGUGAGAUGUUGGGUUAAGUCCCGCAACGAGCGCAACCCUUGUCUUAUGUUGCCAGCACGUAAUGGUGGGGACUUGUAAGAGACUGCCGGGGUCAACUCGGAGGAAGGUGGGGAGGACGUCAAGUCAUCAUGCCCCUUAUGUCCAGGGCUUCACACAUGCUACAAUGGCCAGUACAGAGGGCUGCGAGACCGUGAGGUGGAGCGAAUCCCUUAAAGCUGGUCUCAGUUCGGAUCGGGGUCUGCAACUCGACCCCGUGAAGUCGGAGUCGCUAGUAAUCGCAGAUCAGCAACGCUGCGGGGAAUACGUUCCCGGGCCUUGUACACACCGCCCGUCACGUCCUGGAAGUCGGUAACCCCCGAAGCCGGUGGCCUAACCCCUACGG